AUGCCGAGCGGACGGUGGCGAUACGGCUCUGUAUCCAUCUCUGAGCCCUACCCCAUUCUCUUCCCGCACCCACCUCGCCGCAUGCCCCCACCCCUCCCAAUCUCGACCUGGAUCGCCGGUUCGGUCUUCACCACAGAGAGAACGAGGGGGAGAGAGGCGAUGGGAUGGGAACUGGCAUCCAUGGGUCGGAGUGAGCCGCGAAGCACAUCUCUGCGGAGGUCGAGAUGCCCGGAUCGUUGCCAUUCUUUCUAUACUCAAACGCACCAAAAAAAAAAAAGAAAUCAUGGCGACGGUGGCAUCGGGUGCUACUGCCUACGAGUAUGUCCAUAUCAUCCAGGCGGAGAAUCUCACCGGGAAUGUUCCGUCCAUUCUCUACAGGCGAUAGGGCUCUCCCGAUCUCGUCCUGGAGGAACAACGCUGUUCACCACUUCUGGUCAGGUUGUCGGCUGCAGACCUGUUCAACCAGUGUCUUCGGAUGCUAUUGUCCAAGACAGCCUCCACGCUUCUGCCCUACAUACAGACUAUCCAUGUCUGUCCCUAGAUAUGCGGGGAGGAGCAAGCAGGAGGGCAAGGAGGAGCACACCUCUAUCAUGCACACGAUCAUUUUGGGAGCACCAAACAUGCAGUGCUUGA
rnacentral:rRNA from 1 species